CAGUAGCCGCGGUAAUACGAAGGGUGCAAGCGUUACUCGGAAUUACUGGGCGUAAAGCGUGCGUAGGUGGUUGUUUAAGUCUGCUGUGAAAGCCCUGGGCUCAACCUGGGAAUUGCAGUGGAUACUGGGCGACUAGAGUAAGGUAGAGGAUAGUGGAAUUUCCGGUGUAGCAGUGAAAUGCGUAGAGAUCGGAAGGAACAUCUGUGGCGAAGGCGACUAUCUGGGCCAUUACUGACACUGAGGCACGAAAGCGUGGGGAGCAAACAGGAUUAGAGACCCGCGUAGUCCCUGUCUCUUAUAC
rnacentral:rRNA from 1 species